rnacentral:rRNA from 1 species
CUACGGGAGGCAGCAGUGGGGAAUCUUGGACAAUGGGGGAAACCCUGAUCCAGCCAUGCCGCGUGAGUGAUGAAGGCCUUAGGGUCGUAAAACUCUUUCGCCUGUGAUGAUAAUGACAGUAGCAGGUAAAGAAACCCCGGCUAACUCCGUGCCAGCAGCCGCGGUAAUACGGAGGGGGUUAGCGUUGUUCGGAAUUACUGGGCGUAAAGCGCACGUAGGCGGACUAUUAAGUCAGAGGUGAAAUCCCGGGGCUCAACCCCGGAACUGCCUUUGAUACUGGUAGUCUAGAGUUCGAGAGAGGUGAGUGGAAUUCCAAGUGUAGAGGUGAAAUUCGUAGAUAUUUGGAGGAACACCAGUGGCGAAGGCGGCUCACUGGCUCGAUACUGACGCUGAGGUGCGAAAGUGUGGGGAGCAAACAGGAUUAGAUACCCUGGUAGUCCACACCGUAAACGAUGAGAGCUAGUUGUCUGCAGGCAUGCCUGUAGGUGACGCAGCUAACGCAUUAAGCUCUCCGCCUGGGGAGUACGGUCGCAAGAUUAAAACUCAAAGGAAUUGACGGA